GGUGUAGCUCAGUGUUAGAGCACUUGCCUAGCACACACAAAGCCCUGGGUUUGAUCCCCAGCACC
rnacentral:tRNA from 1 species